rnacentral:rRNA from 1 species
GACGAACGCUGGCGGCAUGCUUAACACAUGCAAGUCGAACGGAAAGGCCCUGCUUUUGUGGGGUGCUCGAGUGGCGAACGGGUGAGUAACACGUGAGUAACCUGCCCUUGACUUUGGGAUAACUUCAGGAAACUGGGUCUAAUACCGGAUAGGAGCUCCUGCUGCAUGGUGGGGGCUGGAAGGUUUAGGCGGUUGGGGAUGGACUCGCGGCUUAUGGGGUUGUUGGAGGGGUAGUGGCUUACCAAGGCAUUGACGGGUGGCCGGCCUGCUCGGGGGAGCUGCCCAAUUAGGAUGGGACUGAGGCCCAGACUACUACGGGAGGCAGCGGUGGGGAGUAUUGCACAAGAGGCGGAGGCCAGAUGCAGCAACGCCGUGUGGGGGAUGACGGGCUUGGGGUUGUAUACCGCUUUCGCCUUAGACGAGGCGUUAAUGACGGUACUGGGUGAAGAAGCACCGGCUAACUACGUG